GUAGGUGAACCUGCGGAAGGAUCAUUAACACGUAUCCAAACGUUAAAACCCCCCUGUGAACCUUCAACACCAAAAAGGGUCCUGCAAAUAGUUUGGGCAACCCCCAGUAAAUCAUUGUAUGAAUCAGAUUUUGAGUUAGGGGCUUCUCUGGGCACCGCGGUGAGCAGGUUUUUCCACUGUCUCAAAGCUUGCGUAAGGAGUUGGCGCAGUCAACGAAUCAAGGGGCCGACACCCUGCGACCGGGACCCUUUGAGCGGGUAACACGGCUGCACCCCAGAUGAAAAUCUGGCAUGACAGAGAGACGGCCGGCGCCGAAAGGUUGUAGGCACAAAAAAACGAACAACUGUUAACAAUGGAUAUCUUGGUUCUC
rnacentral:misc_RNA from 1 species